rnacentral:rRNA from 1 species
UACGAAGGGGGCAAGCGUUGUUCGGAAUUAUUGGGCGUAAAGGGAGCGUAGGCGGUUCGGCAAGUCUUUAGUGAAAUCUCUGGGCUCAACUCAGAGUCUGCUGGAGAAACUGCCGGGCUGGAGUAUGGGAGAGGUGAGUGGAAUUCCCGGUGUAGCAGUGAAAUGCGUAGAGAUCGUAAGGAAGACCAGUGGCGAAGGCGGGUCUCUGGACAGUUCCUGACGCUGAGGCACGAAGGCCAGGGGAGCAAACGGG